AAUGAACGCUGGCGGCAUGCCUAACACAUGCAAGUCGAACGAGAAGGUACCUUCGGGUACUGGACAGUGGCGCACGGGUGAGUAACAUGUGGGAACCUACCAUUCAGUAAGGAACAACAGUUGGAAACGACUGCUAAUACCGCAUAAUGUCUACGGACCAAAGGGGGCUUCGGCUCUCGCCUUUAGAUUGGCCCAAGUGGGAUUAGCUAGUUGGUGAGGUAAUGGCUCACCAAGGCGACGAUCCCUAGCUGGUUUGAGAGGAUGAUCAGCCACACUGGGACUGAGACACGGCCCAG
rnacentral:rRNA from 1 species